rnacentral:rRNA from 1 species
GGAAGUGAGGCAGGGCGCACGGUGGAUGCCCUGGCUCCCGGAGGCGACGAAGGACGCGGCAAGCCGCGAUAGGCCCGGGGGAGGCGGGCCCGCCACCCCGCGAGGGGGGCGAACCCGGCGAACCGAAACAUCCCAGUAGCCGGAGGAGGAGAAAGCAACCGCGAUUCCCCGAGUAGCGGCGAGCGGAAGGGGAUCAGCCCAAACCGGUCGGGUUUCGGCCCGGCCGGGGUUGUAGGGCGCCGCGGAUGCGCGCGGGCGGCCGGAGCCGAAGCGCCUGGAACGGCGCGCCGGAGGGGGUGAUGGCCCCGUAGGCGGACGGCUGCGCGCGCGUGGCGGCGCGCCUGAGUAGGGCGGGGCCCGAGGACCCCCGCCCGAAUCUGCCGGGACCACCCGGCAAGGCUAAAUACUCCCGGGAGACCGAUAGCGAACCAGUACCGUGAGGGAAAGGUGAAAAGCACCCCGCGCAGGGGAGUGAAAGAGCGCCUGAAACCGUGCGUCCACAAGCGGUCGGAGCCCUUCGGGGCGACGGCGUGCCUUUUGCAUAAUGAGCCUACGAGUCACGGCGGCCGGCGGGUUAACCGUCUAGGCCGGGGAGCCGGAGCGAAAGCGAGUCCGAAACGGGCGCGGGUCGGCCGCCGUGGGCGCGAAACCGGGUGAUCUACCCAUUGAAAAGCCUUCGGAUGAGCUGUGGGUAGGGGUGAAAGGCCAAUCAAACCCGGAGAUAGCUCGUACUCCCCGAAAUGCCUUUAGGGGCAGCCUCGGGCUUGAGCCGACCGGAGGUAGAGCGACUGGCUGGACGCGAGGGCUUCGCCGCCUAUCAAGUCCUGCCAAACUCCGAAUGCCGGGUCGGCGUUGCCCGGGAGUGAGCCGCGGGGUGCUAAUGCCCCGCGACGAGAGGGGAACAACCCGGACCAGCGGCUAAGGCCCCCAAGCGCGCGCUGAGUUGGCCAAACGCGGUGCGGCCGCAGUGACAGCUAGGAUGUUGGCUUGGAAGCAGCCAUUCAUUCAAAGAGUGCGUAACAGCUCACUAGUCGAGCGGCCGCGCAUGGAUGAUGAGCGGGCAUGAAGCGCGCCGCCGAGGCCCUGGGCCGCCCGGCUCGUUCCGGGCGGCGGUAGGGGAGCAUCCCCGCCCGCGCCGAAGCGGCUCCGCGAGGGGCCGUGGAGCGGCGGGGAGCGCAGAUGUAGGCAUGAGUAGCGAUAACGGGGGCGCGAACCCCCCGCACCGAUAGGCCGAGGUUUCCUGAUCAACGCCAGUCGAAUCAGGGUGAGCCGGGGCCUAAGGCGAAGGCGAAGGCCGAUGCCGAUGGGGAACGGGCUAACAUUCCCGUGCUGGCGCCCGCUGCGAUGGGGGGACGGAGCCGUGACAGCCGCGCCCGGCGACGGAUUGCCGGGCCGAAGGGGGGUAGGUGUACGCGCGGGGUAACGCCCGGGCGUGCCGAGCCCCGACAGCGCCGCGAGCCCGAGGGCGAGCGGUUAAGCGGCGUAAGCAUGCUCCCGAGAAAAGCCCCUAAGCUCCAGGCGGGCGGCACCCGUACCGCAAACCGACACAGGUGGCCAGGGCGAGGAGCCCGAGGUGCACGAGUGAUCCACGGCUAAGGAACUAGGCAAACUGACCCUGUAACUUCGGGAGAAAGGGUCCCCCCGCCGGGUGGCGGGGGGCGCAGCGAAGUGGCCCAGGCGACUGUUUAGCAAAAACACAUGGCUCUGCCAAACCGCGAGGUGACGUAUAGGGCCUGACACCUGCCCGGUGCCGGAAGGUUAAGAGGGGGCGUUAGGGCUUGGGCCCGAGGCGCCGAAUUGAAGCCCCGGUAAACGGCGGCCGUAACUAUAACGGUCCUAAGGUAGCGAAAUUCCUUGUCGGGUAAGUUCCGACCUGCACGAAUGGUGCAACGA